rnacentral:antisense_RNA from 1 species
UGCUCUCAUACAGAGAUUACAUUUCUUAAGGAAGUCAGGCCUUUGGAAUGCAGUAUGACAAAUGGCCAUGAGAGAAAAAACAUAUAAGUAUCGAAACUAAUGGCACACUCGAUAUGUCAUAAGUGAAUGACAGUCUGUAAAUGCCAAGGAAGACAGAGAGAGGUAGAAAGCAGCCUUCUUUGGAAGAUAAGUGGUAAACUCAAGAUUGCUAUAGCUAAACGCAUAACAAUCCUCAACAGGGGAGAUGAAAGAAGUUGUUUCUGUAAGAAGGAAUUGAUACCACUUGAAAUUUUAGUGCUGAGUAACUAAGAAAACUUACAUGAGUGUGGAGCAGACACCAUCUUCUUUCCCUUUUUCUUCUUCUCAUUCUAGUUUUCUAAGAUGCAGCCUUUGGUGAGCUUACUAAAAAUACAGAUUCUUUUAAAGUUA